UGUAAUAGCAGUGGCCUAGAACAAGUCCAGCUGGGGUCACACAUAUCUACCGACGGAAAAAGGGGUUGUUGCCACCCAGUCCACUUUUAAAACAGCGUUAUACGAACAUACCGAGUUUCUCAAGAUGAACAACAACAAGUUGGUCGCAAUCUUCUUGGUGGUAUUACUGGUGGUCAGUUUGUCCACGGAUUCGGAAGGAAGAAGAAGACGACGAUAUGGUAAAAUUCGCCCAAUUGAAUCUGACUCG